rnacentral:rRNA from 1 species
UACGUAGGGUGCAAGCGUUGUCCGGAAUUAUUGGGCGUAAAGAGCUCGUAGGCGGUGUGUCGCGUCGGCCGUGAAAACCUGCAGCUUAACUGUGGGCUUGCGGUCGAUACGGGCAUCACUUGAGUUCGGCAGGGGAGACUGGAAUUCCUGGUGUAGCGGUGAAAUGCGCAGAUAUCAGGAGGAACACCGGUGGCGAAGGCGGGUCUCUGGGCCGAUACUGACGCUGAGGAGCGAAAGCAUGGGUAGCGAACAGG